UUGCUUCUUGUCCUUUUGGCUAAGAUCAAAUGUAGUAUCUGUUUUUUAUCAGUUUAAUA
rnacentral:snRNA from 1 species